ACGCCGCUCCCCGCGCCAUCCUGGGCACUGCGAGGGGCAGGAGACCCGUGAGGGGCUGAAUCCCCCCGUGGUGUGUGUGUGUGUGUCUGUGUUGAACGUUUCUGUCUCUGCUGAAUAAACGCGGGUGUUCACCUCAGUUUCCUCACACAUUUUCAUGUUGAAGCUGAAUCCUAGCUAAAGAGGAGCGGUCCUGAAGCUGUGAGCAGACAUGGAGGAUGUGAUACUAUCCUUCCAAGUGGACAUGAACUAGAUGAUCAGAAGCUGUGUAAGUUCCAGGCUUCCAGGAAUGGGUGCCUAAUGGCAGAAAGAGGCAAAGAAAGCAAAAAGGCCCAUGGCUCAAAUCAGUAGAAAUCUGAGAAAUGAUGAGAAACGUGAUGUCUUCAGUGGUUGCUGUUUCACACUUGGAGAACAGAGCUGUCAUUUUUUGCAGUUAGAAGGCUACCAGGAAGGGAAGGAAUUACUUUGAGCCCAGGAGCAGAGUGAGAGAAAUUAUUGUCUUCAGAAUCCAUUGGGAACAGGACCAUCAGACUGAGAAGAAGGUAGCUUACACAUUUGUUGAGAUUCAGAAUUCCUGAUGCCAAGGGAAUCCCGGAGGUCUGACAAGUCUGGUGUGAUAAGAGAUGUUUGAGUUAAGCACUUUAUGGAUGAAGAGGACAUGAUGUCACAAAACAAGUUUGGCUAUUCUUACUUCCAUUUAGAAACUGUGUUAAUAUUUGGAGUCUGCCUGCAGGUUUUAAAUGGAAAGAUCUCAUUUCUCUGCUGUAGUAUAAUGUUUAAUACACCAGACAUUAUAAUGUUUAAUAUACCAGGCAUACAAUGCAUUGCUCAUAUUGUUAUGUGUAACUCACUUUUUAUGUGUACCGUGAAAUAAAGGAAGU